CAGUCUUUUUCGUGGAGCCGCGGCUGAACUUGUAUUUUCCUUUCCGUGGCCGGAGAUUUCUAACAGCUGCAGUAACAUUUACGUUACGUAUGCUCCAAUUUGAUACUAGUCAUCUUUAUCGAAAUUUGAUAUCGUCUCGAGUUUUCACAUAAAAUGUAUUGUCAGGCGGUCUCUUCUGCAUUGAAAAACUGCUUAGCAUGGAAAUGAUACUCAGGCAAAUGCUCUGUACACUGAGAGCGGGAGACCAAUCCUCUGUUAAUAUGGAUAAACAAAUA